GGCUAACUACGUGCCAGCAGCCGCGGUAAUACGUAGGGUGCGAGCGUUGUCCGGAUUUAUUGGGCGUAAAGGGCUCGUAGGUGGUUGAUCGCGUCGGAAGUGUAAUCUUGGGGCUUAACCCUGAGCGUGCUUUCGAUACGGGUUGACUUGAGGAAGGUAGGGGAGAAUGGAAUUCCUGGUGGAGCGGUGGAAUGCGCAGAUAUCAGGAGGAACACCAGUGGCGAAGGCGGUUCUCUGGACCUUUCCUGACGCUGAGGAGCGAAAGCGUGGGGAGCGAACAGGCUUAGAUACCCUGGUAGUCCACGCUGUAAACGGUGGGUACUAGGUGUGGGGUCCAUUCCACGGGUUCCGUGCCGUAGCUAACGCUUUAAGUACCCCGCCUGGGGAGUACGGCCGCAAGGCUAAAACUCAAAGGAAUUGACGGGGCCCCGCACAAGCGGCGGAGCAUGCGGAUUAAUUCGAUGCAACGCGUAGAACCUUACCUGGGUUUGACAUGGAUCGGGAGUGCUCAGAGAUGGGUGUGCCUCUUUUGGGGUCGGUUCACAGGUGGUGCAUGGCUGUCGUCAGCUCGUGUCGUGAGAUGUUGGGUUAAGUCCCGCAACGAGCGCAACCCUUGUUCACUGUUGCCAGCACGUUAUGGUGGGGACUCAGUGGAGACCGCCGGGGUCAACUCGGAGGAAGGUGGGGAUGACGUCAAAUCAUCAUGCCCCUUAUGUCCAGGGCUUCACACAUGCUACAAUGGUCGGUACAACGCGUUGCGACACUGUGAGGUGGAGCGAAUCGCUGAAAGCCGGUCUUAGUUCGGAUUGGGGUCUGCAACUCGACCCCAUGAAGUCGGAGUCGCUAGUAAUCGCAGAUCAGCAACGCUGCGGUGAAUACGUUCCCGGGCCUUGUACACACCGCCCGUCACGUCAUGAAAGUUGGUAACACCCGAAG
rnacentral:rRNA from 1 species